GAAUGUUUCAGGUCCAGUUCAACCUUACACUUCCUACCUUAAGAAUUUCUGGUAUCCUGUUGCCUUCUCUACUGAUCUGAAGGAUGACACAAUGAUUCCGAUUGAUUGUUUUGAGGAACCAUGGGUUGUCUUUCGUGGGAAAGAUGGGAAACCUGGAUGUGUCCAGAACACCUGUGCGCAUAGAGCCUGUCCUCUUCACCUUGGUUCAGUAAAUGAGGGUCGGAUCCAAUGUCCUUACCAUGGAUGGGAAUACUCAACAGAUGGAAAAUGUGAGAAGAUGCCAUCUACACGACUACUAAAUGUGAAGAUAAAGUCAUUGCCAUGUUUUGAGCAAGAAGGGAUGAUAUGGGUUUGGCCUGGCAAUGACCCUCCAGCAGCCACACUUCCUUCAUUACAGCCUCCUCCAGGUUUUGUAGUCCAUGCUGAGAUUGUCAUGGANACUUCCAGUGGAACAUGGUCUUCUUCUGGAUAACCUGUUAGAUCUUGCGCA
rnacentral:misc_RNA from 1 species